rnacentral:snRNA from 1 species
GGACUUACCUGGCAGGGGAGACACCAUGUGAUCAUGAAGGUGGUUUUCCCAGGGUGAGGCUCAUCCAUUGCACGCCGGAUGUGCUGACUCCUGCGAUUUCCCCAAAUGCGGGAAACUCAACUGCAUAAUUUGUGGUAGUGGGGGACUGCCUUCAUGCUUUNCCCUG